CUGCAAUGAUGACCAACUUAGGACACCUUUGGAAUCCUCAUGAAAACAGCUAAGUGAUUCUGAGCAGU